rnacentral:rRNA from 1 species
GACGAACGCUGGCGGCGUGCCUAAUACAUGCAAGUAGAACGCUGAAGGAGGAGCUUGCUCUUCUGGAUGAGUUGCGAACGGGUGAGUAACGCGUAGGUAACCUGCCUGGUAGCGGGGGAUAACUAUUGGAAACGAUAGCUAAUACCGCAUAACAGUAGAUGUUGCAUGACAUUUGCUUAAAAGGUGCAAUUGCACCACUACCAGAUGGACCUGCGUUGUAUUAGCUAGUUGGUGGGGUAACGGCUCACCAAGGCGACGAUACAUAGCCGACCUGAGAGGGUGAUCGGCCACACUGGGACUGAGACACGGCCCAGACGCCUACGGGAGGCAGCAGUAGGGAAUCUUCGGCAAUGGACGGAAGUCUGACCGAGCAACGCCGCGUGAGUGAAGAAGGUUUUCGGAUCGUAAAGCUCUGUUGUAAGAGAAGAACGAGUGUGAGAGUGGAAAGUUCACAAUGUGACGGUAUCUUACCAGAAAGGGACGGCUAACUACGUG